AGUGAACGCUGGCGGUAGGCCUAACACAUGCAAGUCGAACGGCAGCACAGUAAGAGCUUGCUCUUACGGGUGGCGAGUGGCGGACGGGUGAGGAAUACAUCGGAAUCUACUUUUUCGUGGGGGAUAACGUAGGGAAACUUACGCUAAUACCGCAUACGACCUACGGGUGAAAGCAGGGGUUCUUCGGACCUUGCGCGAUUGAAUGAGCCGAUGUCGGAUUAGCUAGUUGGCGGGGUAAAGGCACACCAAGGCGACGAUCCGUAGCUGGUCUGAGGGGAUGAUCAGCCACACUGAAACGGAGACACGGUUCAGACUCGUACGGGAGGCAGCAGUGGGAAAUAUUGGACAAUGGGCGCAAGCCUAAUCCAGCCAUACCGCGUAGGUGAAGAAGGCCUUCGGUUUGUAAAGCCCUUUUGUUGGGAAAGAAAAGCAGCAGGUUAAUACCCCGCUGUUCUGACGGUACCCAAAGAAUAAGCACCGGCUAACUUCGU
rnacentral:rRNA from 1 species